AGUCAAGUAAUUAAGUGCAUGUGGUGGAUGCCUUGGCAGUCAGAGGCGAUGAAAGACGUGAUAGCCUGCGAAAAGCUCCGGGGAGGCGGCAAAUAUCCUUUGAUCCGGAGAUGUCUGAAUGGGGGAACCCACCUACUUUAAGGUAGGUAUUGCAACAUGAAUACAUAGUGUUGCAAGGCGAACGAGGGGAAGUGAAACAUCUCAGUACCCUUAGGAAAAGAAAUCAAUUGAGAUUCCCUCAGUAGCGGCGAGCGAACGGGGAUCAGCCCAUUAAGUUAUGUGUGUUUUAGUGGAACGCUCUGGGAAGUGCGAACGUAGAGGGUGAUAUUCCCGUACACGAAAGGGCACACAUAAUGAUGACGAGUAGGGCGAGGCACGUGAAACCUUGUCUGAAUAUGGGGGGACCAUCCUCCAAGGCUAAAUACUCCUGACUGACCGAUAGUGAACCAGUACCGUGAGGGAAAGGCGAAAAGAACCCCUGUGAGGGGAGUGAAAUAGAUCCUGAAACCGCAUGCAUACAAGCAGUGGGAGCACCUUCGUGGUGUGACUGCGUACCUUUUGUAUAAUGGGUCAGCGACUUAUAUUCAGUAGCGAGGUUAACCGUAUAGGGGAGCCGUAGAGAAAUCGAGUCUUAAUAGGGCGUUUAGUUGCUGGGUAUAGACCCGAAACCAGGCGAUCUAUCCAUGAGCAGGUUGAAGGUUGGGUAACACUAACUGGAGGACCGAACCCACUGUCGUUGAAAAGCCAGGGGAUGACUUGUGGAUAGGGGUGAAAGGCUAAUCAAGCCUGGUGAUAGCUGGUUCUCCCCGAAAGCUAUUUAGGUAGCGCCUCGGACGAAUACCAUAGGGGGUAGAGCACUGUUUCGGCUAGGGGGUCAUCCCGACUUACCAAACCGAUGCAAACUCCGAAUACCUAUGAGUACUAUCCGGGAGACAGACUGCGGGUGCUAACGUCCGUAGUCAAGAGGAAAACAAUCCAGACCGCCAGCUAAGGCCCCAAAAUCAUAGUUAAGUGGGAAACGAUGUGGGAAGGCAUAGACAGCUAGGAGGUUGGCUUAGAAGCAGCCACCCUUUAAAGAAAGCGUAAUAGCUCACUAGUCGAGUCGGCCUGCGCGGAAGAUGUAACGGGGCUAAAACUAAGUGCCGAAGCUGCGGAUGUAUACUUUGUAUACGUGGUAGGGGAGCGUUCUGUAAGCCGAUGAAGGUGUGUUGAGAAGCAUGCUGGAGGUAUCAGAAGUGCGAAUGCUGACGUGAGUAACGACAAAACGGGUGAAAAACCCGUUCGCCGAAAGACCAAGGGUUCCAGUCCAACGUUAAUCGGGGCUGGGUGAGUCGACCCCUAAGGCGAGGCCGAAAGGCGUAGUCGAUGGGAAAAUGGUUAAUAUUCCAUUACUUCUGUGUAAUGCGAUGAGAGGACGGAGAAGGCUAAAUCAGCCUGGCGUUGGUUGUCCAGGUGAAAGGAUGUAGGCAUGUAUCUUAGGCAAAUCCGGGGUACUCUAUGCUGAGAUCUGAUAGCAAGCUGUACUUGUACAGCGAAGUGGUUGAUGCCAUGCUUCCAGGAAAAGUCUCUAAGCUUCAGUUACACAGGAAUCGUACCCGAAACCGACACAGGUGGUCAGGUCGAGUAGACCAAGGCGCUUGAGAGAACUCUGCUGAAGGAACUAGGCAAAAUGGUACCGUAACUUCGGGAGAAGGUACGCUGUUGUUGGUGAUGGAACUCGCUUCCUGAGCUGACGACAGCCGCAGAAACCAGGCCGCUGCAACUGUUUAUUAAAAACAUAGCACUCUGCAAACACGAAAGUGGACGUAUAGGGUGUGAUGCCUGCCCGGUGCUGGAAGGUUAAUUGAUGGGGUUAGCGUAAGCGAAGCUCUUGAUCGAAGCCCCAGUAAACGGCGGCCGUAACUAUAACGGUCCUAAGGUAGCGAAAUUCCUUGUCGGGUAAGUUCCGACCUGCACGAAUGGCAUAAUGAUGGCGGCGCUGUCUCCAGCAGAGGCUCAGUGAAAUCGAAAUCGCUGUGAAGAUGCAGUGUACCCGCGGCUAGACGGAAAGACCCCGUGAACCUUUACUGCAGCUUGACACUGAACUUUGACCUUACUUGUGUAGGAUAGGUGGGAGGCUUUGAAGCUGGAACGCUAGUUCCAGUGGAGCCGUCCUUGAAAUACCACCCUGGUAAUGUUGAGGUUCUAACUCUGUCCCGUGAUCCGGGACGAGGACCGUGUCUGGUGGGUAGUUUGACUGGGGCGGUCUCCUCCUAAAGAGUAACGGAGGAGUACGAAGGUGCGCUCAGCGUGGUCGGAAAUCACGCGUAGAGUAUAAAGGCAAAAGCGCGCUUAACUGCGAGACCCACAAGUCGAGCAGGUACGAAAGUAGGUCUUAGUGAUCCGGUGGUUCUGUAUGGAAGGGCCAUCGCUCAACGGAUAAAAGGUACUCUGGGGAUAACAGGCUGAUACCGCCCAAGAGUUCAUAUCGACGGCGGUGUUUGGCACCUCGAUGUCGGCUCAUCUCAUCCUGGGGCUGAAGCAGGUCCCAAGGGUAUGGCUGUUCGCCAUUUAAAGAGGUACGCGAGCUGGGUUUAGAACGUCGUGAGACAGUUCGGUCCCUAUCUACCGUGGGCGCUGGAAAUUUGAGAGGAUCUGCUCCUAGUACGAGAGGACCAGAGUGGACGAACCUCUGGUGUACCGGUUGUGACGCCAGUCGCAUCGCCGGGUAGCUAUGUUCGGAAGGGAUAACCGCUGAAAGCAUCUAAGCGGGAAGCCUACCUCAAGAUAAGAUUUCCCUAGGACUUUAUGUCCUCUAAAGAGCCGUUCGAGACUAGGACGUUGAUAGGUUGGAUGUGGAAGCAUAGUGAUAUGUGAAGCUGACCAAUACUAAUUGCUCGUGAGGCUUGACUAU
rnacentral:rRNA from 1 species